ensembl:lncRNA
CAAAAUCAUCAUUUCAUGUGUGGAAAAGGUUGUAAAUGAUGAGGCAGCAGCAGAAGUCAUAUGCAAACAUCUGAUCUAGAAUUUUCUUCCCUCCCCAGAAGAUUAUCUCUCAGAGUUUUAACAACCCUUUUCACGUCCUAUCAAGUUCUGUAGUUAAAAAGGAUGAAUUAUUCCUUCUCCCUUUGGGGUUUCCAUUUAUCCUUGCAGCUACACAGCACCAGGAGAGGGGUUUCCAGCCUCCCCCAUCUGCAGACAGCUUCUGGCUCCCAGAAGAUUGUAUCUGCUAAGAGCUACCAGUACUGGAGAGAUUGUACAUUACAGCAAUUACAGACAAACUCUUCCAGACAGUUUGAAGACCAAAACUUUCUUUGUGUGGAAGUCCAAAGGCAAUUAUUGGCAUUACAGUUUAAGAGAAGCAUUCCAUCUCCGUGAUGCAACAGCAGUAGCUUUCUGUGGCAUGUUAAAUAAAGCAAUUUGCCCUGUAGGAGACUAAUGCAUGCAGCGCUGUAAUGAAAAAAAGUGAAAUCACAGUUGCUCUGAAAGGAAUGGCAACCUCUCUUCAAAAACAUAAAAAACUUCUUCUGGCUCCAUCUUAACUACAAAUUUCUGCUCUGGAGGAUAGAGAAAGCUUUAAAGAAAAGGGAAAGGAAUUGCUUUAACAGCUGCAUUAUAAUAAUGAAACGUUAGAGCAGACGAUUUCUCCAGUCAUCGCCCAGACUGUUCUUUUUAACGGUGAUGUGAUGAGGUUUGCAAAACAGACAGCACUAAUUUUUCUGAGACAGAGCCAGGUUUACUAGGACAAGCCCCAGAUAUGAGGAAAUUCUUCAUUUUUGAGAACAAAUGAAGCCACUUAGCUUUCCCUGCCAUCAGAGCAAAUGCCAGUCUGGCAGUCUGAUGGAAAAGCUGAACAAGGCAAAGAAGAUUCUUGUGAGAGGAAGAAAAAGCAAAAAAGCUCAGCCAAUUCAAUGCCUCAGCAAAACACCAAGUGGCAAGACAAAGAGCAGCCUUUCAUGGAGUCAUGGUAUCAUUUGAGUUGGAAGGGACCUUUAAAGGCCAUCUGGUCCAACUCCUCUGCAAUGAAAAGGGACACCUAUAGCACAGUCAGGUGCUCACAGUUCCAUCCAGCCUGAUCUUGAAUGUCUCUAGGGAUGGGGCAGCCAUGUCUCUGGGCAAUCUGUUCCACUUCAUCCUUCCAUAAGCAUCAGCAAGCAAAAUAGCAUGGGCUUCUCUGUACUGUAUUUAUGCUCUAUUUUAUGGUUGUUUUUAUUUCAUUAGAAAAUAUUUUUAAGACGGUUAGUUAAGGCUAGAAGGUCAUUUUGGGAUUUCAUGUGCCAUGUAUACUCUGUAAUGAACGAGUUUGUAUCACUAGUAUGAGCCUCACAUGAUGUUUGUUUAUACCCAGCAUCAGCUGACUGGAAAACCCAUCAUAUCAUCUGCAGUGACAGAUUGAACUGAUUGGUGAAGCACUCUCCAAUUAGUCCCAAAGAACUGCUUCUUGAAAGUUUUUCAUCACCUGGAGCUGAGCUUUCUGUAUAUCCAUCUGGUUUUAGAUACAACAACAACUCUAUAGAAAGCAGAAGAGAAUAUUCAAAUAAAUGUUUU